GUUUGUCUCAGUGGGUAUUAAAGGUUGGGAGACUGCAGUGAUAAGUGUGUCUGAAUCUCUCUAUGGGGCUGUUUGUGAGGGGGUUCAAAUUCUGAAUGCUCAUCACACACCUCCCCUAUUCUAAAAUUAUUGAUGCACUGUUAUUGAUGGGAUUGUAUGGGUUGAUAGCCUUUCUUUAGUGUCUGUAGGGCUGUAUUCAGCCUUGUAGAUCCCCCUAGUGGUGGUUUUGUAAAGGCUGUCUUCAGUGCCUUAUUUCCUCAGAAAACAACUGGUAUUUCUCACAGCUUCUAGAUUUGGACAAAGGAAUGAUACAAGAUCAGCUCCAUCAAGUAUGAUGGUGAAGGAUGAAUAUGUGCAUGACUUUGAGGGACAGCCAUCGUUGUCCACUGAAGGACAUUCAAUUCAAACCAUCCAGCAUCCACCAAGUAAUCGUGCGUCGACAGAGACAUACAGCAC
rnacentral:sRNA from 1 species